rnacentral:tRNA from 1 species
AAGAUUUUAUGAUAAACCUUAAUCAUUUAACCUUCAAAGUUAAAAAUAUAAAAAAUUUUAUAAAUCUUA